GACACUUUGGCCGAGUGGUUAAGGCGAUGCCCUGCUACUAGCACAGUUUCAAGGCAUUGUAUUCGUACGCGCAGGUUCGAAUCCUGCAGGUGUCG